UACGUAGGGGCCAAGCGUUGUCCGGAGUUACUGGGCGUAAAGCGUGCGCAGGCGGCUCGUUGCGCCCGACGUGAAAGCCCCCCGCUUAACUGGGGAGGGUGCGCCGAAAACUGGUGGGCUAGAGUGUGGGAGAGGGAAGCGGAAUUCCUGGUGUAGCGGUGAAAUGCGUAGAUAUCAGGAGGAACACCUGUGGUGUAGACGGCUUCCUGGACCACAACUGACGCUGAGACACGAAAGCGUGGGGAGCAAACAGG
rnacentral:rRNA from 1 species